CAAUAGCGUAUAUUAAAGUUGUUGCAGUUAAAAAGCUCGUAGUUGGAUUUCUGGUGGGAGCGAUCGGUCUGGCGCUUAGCGCGAGUACUUGCAUCGUCUCCGGCCAUCCUUGGGGGGAGUCUGUCUGGCAUUAGGUUGUCGGGCAGAGGAUCCUCAUCGUUUACUGGGAAAAAAUUAGAGUGUUCAAAGCAGGCUUAUGCCGUUGAAUAUAUUAGCAUGGAAUAAUAAGAUAGGACUUUGGUACUAUUUUGUUGGUUUGCGCACCAAAGUAAUGAUUAAUAGGGACAGUUGGGGGUAUUCGUAUUCCGUUGUCAGAGGUGAAAUUCUUGGAUUUACGGAAGACGAACUACUGCGAAAGCAUUUACCAAGGAUGUUUUCAUUAA
rnacentral:rRNA from 1 species